AUUGAACGCUGGCGGCAGGCUUAACACAUGCAAGUCGAGCGGAGAUGAGGUGCUUGCACCUUAUCUUAGCGGCGGACGGGUGAGUAAUGCUUAGGAAUCUGCCUAUUAGUGGGGGACAACAUUCCGAAAGGAAUGCUAAUACCGCAUACGUCCUACGGGAGAAAGCAGGGGAUCUUCGGACCUUGCGCUAAUAGAUGAGCCGAGGUCGGCUUAGCUAGUUGGUGGGGUAAAGGCCUACCAAGGCGACGACCUGUAGCGGGUCUGAGAGGAUGAUCCGCCCCACUGGGCCUGCGACACGGCCCAGACUCCCACGGGAGGCAGCAGUGGGGAAUAUUGGACAAUGGGGGGAACCCUGAUCCAGCCAUGCCGCGUGUGUGAAGAAGGCCUUAUGGUUGUAAAGCACUUUAAGCGAGGAGGAGGCUACUGAGACUAAUACUCUUGGAUAGUGGACGUUACUCGCAGAAUAAGCACCGGCUAACUCUGUGCCAGCCGCCGCCGUAAUAC
rnacentral:rRNA from 1 species